CUGACCAAUGAUGGGUGUUCUGGGGUGUAUGAGUCAACAAUUUUGGUUAAACCCUUUAGCUCUGAGGUCCAC
ensembl:snoRNA